CCGCUCCCGCCUCGGAAGUGACAUCCCGGCGCGGGAGGCGAUGGGGUCAGCGCUGUGAGGGGGCGAUGGCGGCGGGGCGGUGCCGGCCCGGCGGGGCUGAGGUGGCGGCGGGGGAGACGCCGCGCUGACGGGAGCCUGACCGACAUCUUCAGCCAGGAAACCAAAGGAUUUCACACUAACCCACUGCAGUUCUGAGAAACUUAGUCAUUGCCAGCCUCUCCUUACUGUGUUUUCAUGGGAAUAUUUAUAAAGUUUAAACCUGGAGAAACUCCAAGAGAGCCAGAGCACAACUUCUCUCCAGAGUUCAUCAAUCCAGUCCCAAAUAACAAAUGCGAUCAGAAGAACAGACCACGUAGCAAUGCAAAUACUCACCUCAUCUGUGAGAUUAUCAACUCUGUACAGACUGGGAUGUGUCAUAAGCAUGAGGUGACACUGCCCGUGUACCUUACCUUUGCUGGAUGUGUACAGGAGAGCUGACUGAAAAGAAACAACCUGCAUAUCAGUAAGACUCUCUUCUACUGACAUUUGCACAGCAUAUCCUGCAUCUGGGUUAACAUUGGG